AUGAUGGGUUUAUGGUUUAGAACUGUUUCACUUAUAUUGUAACGAAUUUUUUUAAUAGGUGAAAAUACCUAUAGAAAAAUAUUAGACGAGAAGACCCUUAGAGUUUUAAUAAAGAUUUUAUAAGUUAAAAUGAUGUUUUUGUUGGGGCGACAUUUUAUUAAAUCUGCAUAGAUAAUAACAUAAAUUAAACAUACUAUACAUAUAACUUUAUGUUUGUUAAAAAGAAUAUAACUACCUGAGGGAUAACAGCAUAAU
rnacentral:rRNA from 1 species